ACCAGUUGUGAAGACUGCGGGAGAAGUGCAGUAUCUGGGCCAGAGUGUACUGUUCCUCGUGGUACAGUCUCUCACGGCUUCCCUUGGCUAGGAAAGGGAAAUCCCCUGACCCCUUGUGCUUCCUGGGUGAGGCAACGCCACACCCUGCUUUAGCUCACCCUUUGUGGGCUGCACCCACUGUCCAACCAGUCCCAAUGAGAUGAAAUGGGAAACGCAGAAAUCCCCUGCCUUCUGUGUCAAUCUCACUGGGAACAGCAGACCAGAGCUAUUCCUAUUCAGCCAUCUUUCCAGCUCUUAGGAAAGGCCGUGUGACGGCACAGUGAGAAAGUAGUCAUCUAAAAGCCAGGAAGAGAGGCCUCUCCUGAAACCAACUCUGCCAGCACCUUCAUCUUGGACUUCCAGCAUCCUGAAUGAUGGGGUCUGGUUCUGUUGCCCAAGCUGGAGUGCAGUGGGACAAUCUCAGCUCACUGCAAACUCCACCUCCCAGGCUCAAGCAACCCUCCCACCUCAGCCUCCUGAGUAGCUGGGACUACAGGCACGUACCAUCAUACUAGCGAGUUUUUUGUAGAAAAUAUUUAUCUUAACUCAUUACAAUAAAUCCUAUUGCCCUCUUCUUCAGGAAUUACUAUUUUCUCUUAAGAACUGCUUAAACAUAGAGGGGAUGCCAAUGGUAAUUGGAUUUGUCAAAAAUUCAAUUCUGUUUCCAUACUGCUUACCCUAUAAUUAAACAAUUGAAACCAUUUUGUAAUUAGGACUCUUUUGAAUUUAUUCUGCAUUUUUCCUAG
rnacentral:lncRNA from 10 species